rnacentral:rRNA from 1 species
GAUGAACGCUGGCGGCGUGCCUAAUACAUGCAAGUCGAGCGAACAGAUGAGGAGCUUGCUCCUCUGACGUUAGAGGCGGACGGGUGAGUAAAACGUGGAUAACCUACCUAUAAGACUGGGAUAAAUUCGGGAAACCGGAGCUAAUAACGGAUAAAAUAUUGAACCGCAUGGUUCAAUGGUGAAAGACGGUUUUGCUGUCACUGAUAGAUGGAUCCGCGCCGCAUUAGCUAGUUGGUAAGGUAACGGCUUACCAAGGCAACGAUGCGUAGCCGACCUGAGAGGGUGAUCGGCCACACUGGAACUGAGACACGGUCCAGACUCCUACGGGAGGCAGCAGUAGGGAAUCUUCCGCAAUGGGCGAAAGCCUGACGGAGCAACGCCGCGUGUAUGAUGAAGGUCUUCGGAUCGUAAAACUCUGUUAGUAGGGAAGAACAAAUGUGUAAGUAACUAUUCACGUCUUGACGUUACCUAAUCAGAAAGCCACGGCUAACUACGUG